ACGAAGGAUCCCGCAUAUUACAAACAAAUAUUCAACAUUCAACCAAUACAUUUGUCAAAUUUUCAAGCGUGCUGCAAAUCUGCCUAAACAACAACGGUCGGAAAAGG